rnacentral:rRNA from 1 species
CGGGACGGGUGAGUAACGCGUGGGUAACCGUGCCUCAUACAGGGGGAUAACAGUUGGAAACGGCUGCUAAUACCGCAUAAGCGCACAGUACCGCAUGGUACGGUGUGAAAAACUCCGGUGGUAUGAGAUGGACCCGCGUCUGAUUAGCUGGUUGGUGAGGUAACGGCUCACCAAGGCGACGAUCAGUAGCCGGCUUGAGAGAGUGAACGGCCACAUUGGGACUGAGACACGGCCCAA